AACAAACGCUGGCGGCGUGCCUAAUACAUGCAAGUCGAACGGGGAAAGUAGCAAUACGAGUACUAGUGGCGCACGGGUGAGGAAUACAUGGGUAAUCUGCCCUCGAGCUCGGGAUAACCAGUCGAAAGACUGGCUAAUACCGGAUAUGACCACAAGAUCUGAGGAUCAAGGGGUAAAAGGUUUUUCGCUUGAGGAUGAGCCCAUGUGGGAUUAGCUAGUUGGUGUAGGUAACGGCUCACCAAGGCGACGAUCCCUAACUGGUCUUAGAGGAUGAUCAGUCACACUGGAACUGAGACACGGUCCAGACUCCUACGGGAGGCAGCAGUAGGGAAUAUUGCACAAUGGAGGAAACUCUGAUGCAGCGACGCCGCGUGAGUGAUGAAGGCCUUCGGGUCGUAAAGCUCUGUCGUAUGGGACUAACAAAAUGAAGGUACCAUGCAAGAAAGGAAUCGGCUAACUUCGUGCCAGCAG
rnacentral:rRNA from 1 species